UACGUAGGGUGCGCGCGGUGUCCGGAAUUAUUGGGCGUCAAGGGCUCGUAGGCGGUUUGUCGCGUCGGGAGUGAAAACCUCGGGCUUAACUCGGGGCUUGCUUUCGAUACGGGCAGACUGGAGGUAUGCAGGGGAGAACGGAAUUCCUGGUGUAGCGGUGAAAUGCGCAGAUAUCAGGAGGAACACCGGUGGCGAAGGCGGUUCUCUGGGCCAUUACUGACGCUGAGGAGCGAAAGCGUGGGGAGCGAACAGG
rnacentral:rRNA from 1 species